GUGCUUGCUUCGGCAGCACAUAUACUAAAAUUGGAAAGAUACAGAGAAGAUUAGCAUGGCCCCGUGCAAGGAUGACAUGCAAAUUCGUGAAGCGUUCCAGUUAUUU
rnacentral:snRNA from 1 species